rnacentral:rRNA from 1 species
GACGGAGGAUGCAAGUGUUAUCCGGAAUCACUGGGCGUAAAGCGUCUGUAGGUGGUCAAAUAAGUCAACUGUUAAAUCUUGAGGCUCAACCUCAAAAUCGCAGUCGAAACUAUUAGACUAGAGUAUAGUAGGGGUAAAGGGAAUUUCCAGUGGAGCGGUGAAAUGCGUAGAGAUUGGAAAGAACACCGAUGGCGAAGGCGCUCUACUGGGCUAUUACUAACACUCAGAGACGAAAGCUAGGGUAGCAAAUGGG